ACAAAAAACCCCGGUAAAAGCGUGUGUUGUUAGCGUAGUACAACGCAAGGGCGACCUUUGGAGUCACAUUUCUAUGCCUUCAGCGAAGCGUAUUGCUCUGUUAAAUGCAACGCAGUAUUUUACCGCAGAAAAAAUUUUGUAAACCCAACUUUAAAACCAUCGCUGUUAGAGGUCUGCUUCUCGCUUGCGGGUUGAGCGACCCAUGAAAUGGUGAUGACCUGAGGACUGGGAUAUUU
rnacentral:snoRNA from 1 species